GAAGCGCUGAGGAAGACAUGGCGAGCGCCUCUGAUGCGCAACGUGAGGGCUGGAUCUGUUGCCAUCCGGGGCGACCGGGCCUUGUUUGCGGCCUGCUCCGUUCCUCGAAUGCCUUUGGGGACUCGAGCGACUGAUCUUAAUUUGGAAAGAACUUGGCAUUUAUCCCUAUUAAUCCACAAUUCAAGAAGGAUGCAGACAAGCUGGAGCGUGUUCAGAGGAGGGCAACCAGGAUGAUCAGGGGUCUGGAAACAAAGCCCUAUGAAAAACAGUAUUAAAACAACAGUAUCCAUUUAAAAACAGUAUCCAUUUAAAAACAACAAUUCUGGAGUCCAUUAAAAACAAACUUAACGUUGUUAAAUGCUGUUAAAAUGCCUGGGAGAAGAGAAAAGUCUUGACCUGGCGCCAAAAAGAUAACAACGUUGGCGCCAAGCGAGCCGCAUUGGGAAGAUCAUUCCACAGUCGAGGGGCCACCACCGAAAAGGCCCUCUCCCUUGUUGCCAUCCUCCGAGCUUCCCUCGGAGUAGGCACUCGGAGGAGGACCUUAGAUGUUGAGUGCAGUGUACGGUCCAAGAUGUGAGGAGCACUAGUUCGAGUUGGGACCAGCGGCACAAAACGAGAAAGUGCCUCCUGUCCUCGGCUGGAGGGCUGCCUUGAGCCAGGUCCUGGAAAGAAGCUCCCCCACUGGACCUGAAUCAUCAGCAUGCCAUUCCUGGCCCAGUCCAGCCCUGAAGCCAGAAGUGGUUGGUGAAAGGUCCCACGCAGAGGAGAGAGUGCCUGCUUGCACUGGUGGCCCCUGAAAGAGUGUUCCUGACCAGCCACGGCGGCUGGUUUUAACGCCCAUGUGCCACCCCCGGGGUGUUGCACUUCACCCAGAAGUGGAUGCGGUUCAUGGCGAACCCUGCCUCGUCGCCUACACGGGCCUGUCCCGUUUCUCUCUGAGUCACUGACUAAAUCUGGGCAGGCUGUACAACUCGGAAAUGUUUUGAAAGAGGAAGUGUCUGGUCAGCAGGCGCACGGUUCUCUUAAUAAACAUGCAGCUAGGGUAA